rnacentral:rRNA from 1 species
UACAGAGGGGGCGAGCGUUGUUCGGAAUUACUGGGCGUAAAGGGCGCGUAGGCGGCCUUCUAAGUCGAACGUGAAAUCCCCGGGCUCAACCCGGGAACUGCGUCCGAUACUGGGAGGCUUGAAUCCGGGAGAGGGAUGUGGAAUUCCAGGUGUAGCGGUGAAAUGCGUAGAUAUCUGGAGGAAUACCGGUGGCGAAGGCGGCAUCCUGGACCGGCAUUGACGCUGAUGAGCGAAAGCUAGGGGAGCAAACGGG